CUUGCUCCCGGAUGUUAGCGGCGGACGGGUGAGUAACACGUGGGUAACCUGCCUGUAAGACUGGGAUAACUCCGGGAAACCGGAGCUAAUACCGGAUAGUUCCUUGAACCGCAUGGUUCAAGGAUGAAAGACGGUUUCGGCUGUCACUUACAGAUGGACCCGCGGCGCAUUAGCUAGUUGGUGAGGUAACGGCUCACCAAGGCGACGAUGCGUAGCCGACCUGAGAGGGUGAUCGGCCACACUGGGACUGAGACACGGCCCAGACUCCUACGGGAGGCAGCAGUAGGGAAUCUUCCGCAAUGGACGAAAGUCUGACGGAGCAACGCCGCGUGAGUGAUGAAGGUUUUCGGAUCGUAAAGCUCUGUUGUUAGGGAAGAACAAGUGCAAGAGUAACUGCUUGCACCUUGACGGUACCUAACCAGAAAGCCACGGCUAACUACGUGCCAGCAGCCGCGGUAAUACGUAGGUGGCAAGCGUUGUCCGGAAUUAUUGGGCGUAAAGGGCUCGCAGGCGGUUUCUUAAGUCUGAUGUGAAAGCCCCCGGCUCAACCGGGGAGGGUCAUUGGAAACUGGGAAACUUGAGUGCAGAAGAGGAGAGUGGAAUUCCACGUGUAGCGGUGAAAUGCGUAGAGAUGUGGAGGAACACCAGUGGCGAAGGCGACUCUCUGGUCUGUAACUGACGCUGAGGAGCGAAAGCGUGGGGAGCGAACAGGAUUAGAUACCCUGGUAGUCCACGCCGUAAACGAUGAGUGCUAAGUGUUAGGGGGUUUCCGCCCCUUAGUGCUGCAGCUAACGCAUUAAGCACUCCGCCUGGGGAGUACGGUCGCAAGACUGAAACUCAAAGGAAUUGACGGGGGCCCGCACAAGCGGUGGAGCAUGUGGUUUAAUUCGAAGCAACGCGAAGAACCUUACCAGGUCUUGACAUCCUCUGACAACCCUAGAGAUAGGGCUUUCCCUUCGGGGACAGAGUGACAGGUGGUGCAUGGUUGUCGUCAGCUCGUGUCGUGAGAUGUUGGGUUAAGUCCCGCAACGAGCGCAACCCUUGAUCUUAGUUGCCAGCAUUCAGUUGGGCACUCUAAGGUGACUGCCGGUGACAAACCGGAGGAAGGUGGGGAUGACGUCAAAUCAUCAUGCCCCUUAUGACCUGGGCUACACACGUGCUACAAUGGACAGAACAAAGGGCUGCGAGACCGCAAGGUUUAGCCAAUCCCACAAAUCUGUUCUCAGUUCGGAUCGCAGUCUG
rnacentral:rRNA from 2 species